GUUCUUUCCACUUCUGGGGCUGUAACUUGAGUUUCUCCGCAGGAGCAGAUAGUGUUUGUGUAGGGACUGCGGACUUUUGCAUUACAGUCUCCCUGCUUUGCUCGCCUGCUGCUGGAAGCUUAGCAGAUACAGUUCAUCAGUGAAGCCUUCUGGACCUGGAGUUUCCUAUAUGAGAAGGAUUUUGAUUACACAUUCAAUUUCUACAAUCAACAUAUGACUGGCCACAUUUUCUAUCUCUUCUCAGGCCACACCAUAGUCAUAGAGCAAGAGGACUCAGAUACAGUUUGGUUGGUCCCUUACCUUCAAAGGUUCAAGUGCUGGCUGCCGAGACUUCUUCUCCAACUCAGCAAUCAGGGUCCCAAGCUGGACCACCUCCUCAGAACCCUUGAUGACACGGCUGUUCCUCCUUUUGAGACACUUACUGAUGCAAAGGAGACUGAACAGUGAAGGAUCUCACUCAUAAUCCUGUCCACAAUCUGUCCAGUUUACACCUUACCCCAAAGAGAGGUAGCCUGUUAUACAACGUUCUUCACCUUAUUCUCUCACUUCACAAUAUAUCUUGGAGAUCUUACCAAAAGUGCACAGAGACCUCCUGCAUUGUGAUUAGCUUUUCAUUGCAUAAUAUUCUGUUGUUCGUGUGUGUAUGAGUGUUUAGUUAGUCUCAAAUUGAUAGGUGCAUGAAUUUUUCCAAUCUUUUGUUAAGGCAAGCAGUAUUGAAUAAACUUAUACAUAAUA
rnacentral:lncRNA from 1 species